GUGAGUCACGUGACUCUCUCCUGGUACAAAGGAAACAGUUUAUUGUCCAGCAUCAGUGAGUCUGAUUUCAGGAUCAGUCUCUCUCUUCCUCUGGAGGUGGAAUAUCAGGAUAUAAACACAUACAGCUGUGUGAUUAACAAUCCUGUAAGCACCCAGACCACACAUCUGGACAUCGAUCAACUCUGUCAGACAUGUUCAGACUGUGACAAAUGGAGUCAAAAGGAGCUGUGAUCCGAUUGGUCGUCUCUGCUGUGGUGGACGUGACAUUUUAUGAUGCAAUGUUUCCUAAUCUUUUUUCUGCCAUGACAUAGUUUAAAUAAGUAUCCCACAGCAUACCACUAAGCACUAAAAAAAGUGCUUUUUUUUUCAAUAAUUAAACUGCAUCAUCAGAGUUGGUAUUUUGGCUUUAUAUAUGAUCAGACACUUGCACCUUGCCCAAAUAGAGUUAACAAGACUUUUGAAGAGUGAAUGAUGUAGGUAUUUAGUUUGUAUGAUCAAGAAAGUUGUUAAUAAAGUGCUUCUUAUGGAAGAUGUGUUUUUGUAAA